UUGAAGAUCCAUUCAUCACUGUUCUUCAAGAUCAAGCCCAAAAGCCCUUGAAGAUCUGUUCAUCACUGUUCUUCAAGAUCAAGCUCAAAAGCCCUUGAAGAUCCGCUCAUCACCGUUAUUCAAGAUCAAGCCUCAACGGCCCUUGAAGAAACACUCAUCCUCAAGAUCAAGCCCCAACGGCUCCUUGAAGAUCCGCUCAAAUCCACUUUCCAAGAUCAAGCCUCGACGGCCCUUGGAUCAAUCACACAUCAACAAAUACACACCUUACAGAGACCGAAUCAGAGGAUCAAAUUUGAGAGAGAUUGUAACCCAAAAUCAUCAAAUACAAAUAUUUGUUUGUGCACGUUAUUCUUGUCUCUUUCGUUUCAGGAAUUUUCCGUGUUCACAAAUACCUCCGUUAGAUUUUCCAUCCAUUGGUCUGUUAAAUGCUAACGUGGCUACCACAUUUAUGUUGAUGUUAUUGCCACAUGGCAAAAAAAACAAUUUUUUUAUACAUUAAAAAUAUUAUAAUAUUAACCCUAUUAAAAAAAAAACCAAAAAAAACCCGAACCCAGAUCCCUAUCCUUCCCCUCACCUCUCUGCAACUCCCAUUUACAAAAUGCCACAACACCAACACCCUAAAAGGAGCUGGCUCUCUUCUUCGUCGUUGAUGGGAGGCAAAGGCAUACGAUUUUUCAAGUUGUUGGCUGUGAUUUUCUGGAACACCAAUCCCUUCUUCAUUAGAUUUGACGACGACGUCGUCAUCAUCUCAGCUUCAUUUAUUUCUUUCUUUCUUUUUUGUGAUGCGUCCAUCUCAACCUCCCCAAGCAACUUGGUCGCAACAUUGCUGCAGGCCAUGGUGAACAGUUCCACUCGAAAAUUCGUCCAAUUUGCGCGAGAGACUGAGGAAUCAGACCUCGUAGUUUGGAUUUGGUUUGAGUUCAUGAUCCACAAAGAGGCUGCCUGAAGGAAGAUUUGUGAAAAACAUGUUCAUUUAAGCAACAUCUAUUAGCAUGCAAUUAACAAUUAAAGGCGGAAUCAUGCUUGCAUGAACUUAAAAACAAAACAUUAACCAUGAAAUUCAAAGCCUAGUAGAUUGGUGAA
rnacentral:lncRNA from 1 species